AACGAACGCUGGCGGCAUGCCUAACACAUGCAAGUCGAACGAGACCUUCGGGUCUAGUUGCGCACGUGUGCGUAACGCGUGGGAACCUGCCCUUAGGUUCGGUAUACCUCCCCGAAAGGGGUGCUAAUACCGGUUAAUGUCUUCGGACCAAAGAUUUUUCGCCUUUGGAUGGGCCCGCGUUGGAUUAGCUAGUUGGUAGGGUAAAAGCCUACCAAGGCGACGAUCCAUAGCUGGUCUGAGAGGAUGAUCAGCCACACUGGGACUGAGACACGGCCCAGACUCGUACGGGAGGGAGCAGUAGGGAAUAUUGGACAAGGGGCGAAAGCCUGAUCAAGCAAUGCCGGGUGAGUGAUGAAGGCCGUAGGGUUGUAAAGCUCUUUUAGCCGGGAUGAUAAUGACAGUACCGGGAGAAUAAGCACCGGCUAACUCCGUG
rnacentral:rRNA from 1 species